rnacentral:misc_RNA from 1 species
UACGUAGGGGGCAAGCGCUAUCCGGAUUUAUUGGGCGUAAAGAGCUCGUAGGCGGCCGAUCGCGUCGGAUGUGAAAGCUCGGGGCUCAACCCUGAGACGCCAUUCGAUACGGAUCGGCUAGAGGUAGGUAGGGGAAAGUGGAAUUCCUGGUGUAGCGGUGAAAUGCGCAGAUAUCAGGAGGAACACCGGUGGCGAAGGCGGCUUUCUGGGCCUUACCUGACGCUGAGGAGCGAAAGCUAGGGUAGCGAAAGGG